rnacentral:lncRNA from 1 species
CAGGUAUUUACUUUAAACCCAUUAGAAACCACAAAAACUUAGAGAAUAUACAAAAGUGCAAAGGGCAGAGGAACAAUAAAGGGAAAUGAAGUGACAAUUUCAUCAUAUACUGGCAUUUGGUUAUCAAGAGGAUUCUGCUAAUUUAGCAGCCAGAAGGAGUUUUAUGGUCUGAAAAGAUGAUAUCUCCAUUUUGGGGAGUUUUUCCAUUUUCACAACCUUAAUGUUAGUUCAGGGAAACACAGCUAAGAAAACCUUGAACAUUUUCUGUAAAAACCUGUCCCUCCUCUUUCACAGCAAGUUCCAUUGUGUCUCAAAACUUUCAGCAUCUUGUCCAGCACAAGCUGAUGUUUGGCUCUGUGUUCUGGCACGUGGCUUUUGGAUGCACAGCGACUCGGUGGAAAUGGCUUUCUCAAUGUACUUCUUCCUGAGUAAACGUAAUCUGCUUUUUUGCCUUUGUCCAUUACUUUCUCUUGGGAAGCACCGAUUUCAUGUCACAAACCUCGAAAUUUUCUGAUUUUGAUGGAGAUUUUGAGCAACUUCACUGCAGACAUAUUUCAACCCUCUUUUACAACAUGCUCUUCUCCAAGCUUGCUCUCGACAGUCAAUCUCCCAUGUGAAGGAAACAUUAGUCCUAAAGUAUUCAUUCCAUGGUAUAGAUACAAAAAAAGAAGUAUGCAUGCUUUUUAUAUGUGUUUUAUAUGUGUUUUCAGCCUGAUCCUUGAUAAACUGAUUAUUAAAAAAUAAGACUAUUUGAAUGCUGGGCAGUUCUGUCAGAGGUGAACUGCAGAAGAAGCAGUGGUUUGUUUCCAGGCAGAUCAAUACUUUUUUGUUCACUGAAGCAGAAUGCAAUAAUUAAAACUGCUGUAUACCGCCAUUUUGUUAUAGAUAAAAUAUUCUCCUUUAAUUCAACAAAGCCCAUGGACCUAAGCUCUAAACUCUUUCUAAUCUUCUGCACAUGUAUUAUAAAUGUAUGAACAGCUUUAAGGGUUUGGAUAUGAAUCAGUAAAAGCCAUUUAAAAUAAAUUAUACUUAAUCCAUAGUUUGAAUAAUUAA